AUAUACCGUAGGUCCACAGCAGUACCAUGUUAAGUUGGAACCAUUUGAAACAAAAGGCACCUUGCUAUGAGUUAAGGUGUUGUAUACAUAGAGCUCCGUUCUUUGUCCUUUAGGAACACCCCAAUGCGAUUGAGCGGGAUUUCUAGUCGACAUUAGAUUUUUAUUAAAAAAGCGACUAGAACUAUUGAAACAACGAGCCACGAGUUUAAAAAUCGUGAUUUUGAUUAUUUUGUCGUUGAGUUGGGUAAAAAUUUGGCAGGAUAACCUGAAUUAAGAUAACGGAGUAUUUGAUGCGCAAUUUUACAGGUUAUUGUUAGUACUUGAA